ensembl:lncRNA
AGCACCUCCCACGGCUCCUGCAGUUGUACAACACCGAGAGGCAGUGAAAUACCCGAAAUCCAACAUGUGAUGACCCGCAUUGAUCAAGAGACAGGAGCCUGUGGUUUCCUACUCUGAACGCUGUUCGAGCCAUGUCGACUUCAGGAGGCCCCACUCCACCCUUCACCACCCUGUCAGUCACCCACCCAGCCAAUCACAUCACUCCUGUAGAGCUGCACCGACCAGAGAAACGCAACGCCAUGAACUAGGAGUGGGUGCUAAUUGAAGCCUGUAAGAAGUGCCUAACAGUUCUGACACACUGUCACAGCAGUUUUACUGAUAGAGAACAACCCAUCACUCUUAGUAUGUGUGGACACUCAGUGGACACCAUCCGCUACUGUGUCUCACAACAGAAAGUCAGCAUUCACCUACCCGUGUCUAGAUUGCCUGCAGGACUUCAUGCUCUCCUUAGCAAGACAGAAGUGACUUGCAGUUUACAGGUAUGUAUGGUG